CAGUAGCCGCGGUAAUACGAAGGGUGCAAGCGUUACUCGGAAUUACUGGGCGUAAAGCGUGCGUAGGUGGUGGUUUAAGUCCGUUGUGAAAGCCCUGGGCUCAACCUGGGAAUUGCAGUGGAUACUGGGUCACUAGAGUGUGGUAGAGGAUAGUGGAAUUUCCGGUGUAGCAGUGAAAUGCGUAGAGAUCGGAAGGAACAUCUGUGGCGAAGGCGACUAUCUGGGCCAACACUGACACUGAGGCACGAAAGCGUGGGGAGCAAACAGGAUUAGAUACCCGUGUAGUCCCUGUCUAUUAUAC
rnacentral:rRNA from 1 species